rnacentral:tRNA from 1 species
GGAGAGGUCGCAUAGAGGCCGAGUGCGCUCGCUUGGAAAGCGGGUAUACCGCAAGGUAUCGCGGGUUCGAAUCCCGCCCUCUCCG